UCCCAGCAGCUCCUCGGGGCCCUGGUCGGCCAGCAGCCCAAGUAGCUCUGGAAUGUACAGAUACCAGAUAAGAAAAGGCUAAAUAUUUCUGGAUUGGGUUAAACGGAGAUGGAGAAAAGACGGAUUUGGCUUGAUGACUCCCAAUGAAAAGGAUAUAGGUUGGCAUUAAGAGGAAAUGCAGAUGGCAAGAAUUGUGCUGCUUUCUAAAGGAAGGAGAAGAUCCUCCAUGAUAGCUGCCAUUUUAAAUGGAUGGAUCUUCAAGAAACAAUGCAACCCUGCUGGCUGGCUGAGACCC